rnacentral:piRNA from 1 species
ACGAGUGGAGUCCUGGGCGUUUUGGAGAA